CUACGGGUGGCAGCAGUGGGGAAUAUUGGACAAUGGGGGAAACCCUGAUCCAGCAAUGCCGCGUGUGUGAAGAAGGCCUGCGGGUUGUAAAGCACUUUCGGUUGGGAGGACUGCUUCUAGCACUAAUAUUGUUGGAAGUUGACGUUACCUUCAGAAGAAGCACCGGCUAACUCCGUGCCAGCAGCCGCGGUGAAUACGGAGGGUGCAAGCGUUAAUCGGAAUUACUGGGCGUAAAGCGCGCGUAGGCGGCUAGAUCAGUCGGGUGUGAAAGCCCCGGGCUUAACCUGGGAACUGCAUCCGAUACUGUCUAGCUUGAGUACAGGAGAGGAGAGUGGAAUUCCACAGGUAGCGGUGAAAUGCGUAGAUAUGUGGAGGAACACCAAUGGCGAAGGCAGCUCUCUGGCCUGAUACUGACGCUGAGGUGCGAAAGCGUGGGGAGCAAACAGGAUUAGAUACCCGCGUAGUC
rnacentral:rRNA from 1 species